rnacentral:tmRNA from 1 species
GGGGAUGAAAGGCUUCGAUAAGGAAUUGAUAUAAAAUAGGCAAGUCGAGCAAUGUAGUCAGCUCGCUAAACUGUCUACAACCGAAAUAGGUGCCAACUUAUUUCAAAAACCUGCAUUAGCUUACGCUUAAUGCCAUCUGACCGGCUAAUUCUCGAUAGGCCGGAGCCAGGUGUCAAAUCUGUCGAGAUAGAUAGUUUAUUCAAGGACCUAGAAAGACUAUCGAACAAAGACAGGUCCGAGGUAAAAAGAUUUCGCUCGAUUAAAACUUUUUAUCCCUAAAUAAAAUCGAGCUAAACUUGUAGAACUGUUUUAUAAAAAUUCUUUAGACGCGGGUUCGAUUCCCACCAUCUCCACUC